UAAGACAGAGGAGCCAAGCGUUGUCCGGAUUGACUGGGCGUAAAGCGCACGCAGGCGGUCGUGCACGUGGGGUGUGAAAACUGGCGGCUCAACUGCCAGAGGCCACCUCAUACGGCGCGACUCGAGCCCGUGAGAGGUCCAUGGAAUUGCCGGUGUAGUGGUGAAAUGCGUAGAGAUCGGCAGGAACACCCAGGGAGAAAUCAGUGGACUGGCACGGUGCUGACGCUCAGGUGCGAAAGCGUGGGGAGCGAACCGGAUUAGAUACCCGGGUAGUCCACGCCGUAAACGAUGAAUACUCGGCAUCUGGUGGGCGAUUUUCGUCCGCCGGGUGCCCCAGCUAACGCGAUAAGUAUUCCGCCUGGGAACUACGAGCGCAAGCUUA
rnacentral:rRNA from 1 species